GAGAAAUCCGGACUAUCUAGUCC
rnacentral:siRNA from 1 species